AUAAUAAUACUAAUUACUAUAUAUUUUUUUAUCACGCUGGUAUCGGAUCAGUACUCGGUUUAGGCCGAUACCACAAGUUCAGGUAUUGGAAUCGGUAUCGGGAAGGAAAAAAUGGUAUCGGAACUUCUCCAG